rnacentral:rRNA from 1 species
AACGCUAGCUACAGGCUUAACACACGCCAAGUUCGAGGGGCAGCACGAACUUAGCUUCGCUAAGUUUCGACGGCGAACCGGCGCACGGGCGAGUAACACGUAUCCAACCUGCCGAAGAACUCGGGGAUAGCCUUUCGAAAGAAAGAUUAAUACCCGAUGGCAUAGUUCUUCCGCAUGGUAGAACUAUUAAAGAAUUUCGGUCAUCGAUGGGGAUGCGUUCCAUUAGGUUGUUGGCGGGGUAACGGCCCACCAAGCCUUCGAUGGAUAGGGGUUCUGAGAGGAAGGUCCCCCACAUUGGAACUGAGACACGGUCCAAACUCCUACGGGAGGCAGCAGUGAGGAAUAUUGGUCAAUGGACGAGAGUCUGAACCAGCCAAGUAGCGUGAAGGAUGACUGCCCUAUGGGUUGUAAACUUCUUUUAUACGGGAAUAAAGUGAGGCACGUGUGCCUUUUUGUAUGUACCGUAUGAAUAAGGAUCGGCUAACUCCGUGCCAGCAGCCGCGGUAAUACGGAGGAUCCGAGCGUUAUCCGGAUUUAUUGGGUUUAAAGGGAGCGUAGGCGGACGCUUAAGUCAGUUGUGAAAGUUUGCGGCUCAACCGUAAAAUUGCAGUUGAUACUGGGUGUCUUGAGUACAGUAGAGGCAGGCGGAAUUCGUGGUGUAGCGGUGAAAUGCUUAGAUAUCACGAAGAACUCCGAUUGCGAAGGCAGCCUGCUGGACUGUAACUGACGCUGAUGCUCGAAAGUGUGGGUAUCAAACAGGAUUAGAUACCCUGGUAGUCCACACAGUAAACGAUGAAUACUCGCUGUUUGCGAUAUACAGUAAGCGGCCAAGCGAAAGCGUUAAGUAUUCCACCUGGGGAGUACGCCGGCAACGGUGAAACUCAAAGGAAUUGACGGGGGCCCGCACAAGCGGAGGAACAUGUGGUUUAAUUCGAUGAUACGCGAGGAACCUUACCCGGGCUUGAAUUGCAACUGAAUGAUGUGGAGACAUGUCAGCCGCAAGGCAGUUGUGAAGGUGCUGCAUGGUUGUCGUCAGCUCGUGCCGUGAGGUGUCGGCUUAAGUGCCAUAACGAGCGCAACCCUUAUCGAUAGUUACCAUCAGGUUAUGCUGGGGACCCUGUCGAGACUGCCGUCGUAAGAUGUGAGGAAGGUGGGGAUGACGUCAAAUCAGCACGGCCCUUACGUCCGGGGCUACACACGUGUUACAAUGGGGGGUACAGAAGGCAGCUACACGGCGACGUGAUGCUAAUCCCGAAAGCCUCUCUCAGUUCGGAUUGGAGUCUGCAAACCCGACUCCAUGAAGCUGGAUUCGCUAGUAAUCGCGCAUUCAGCCACGGCGCGGUAAAUACGUUUCCCGGGCCCU